rnacentral:rRNA from 1 species
CUACGUGCCAGCAGCCGCGGUAAUACGGAGGAUGCGAGCGUUAUCCGGAUUUAUUGGGUUUAAAGGGUGCGUAGGCGGCCUGUUAAGUCAGCGGUGAAAUCUAGGAGCUUAACUCCUAAAUUGCCAUUGAUACUGGCGGGCUUGAGUGUAGAUGAGGUAGGCGGAAUGCGUGGUGUAGCGGUGGAAUGCAUAGAUAUCACGCAGAACUCCGAUUGCGAAGGCAGCUUACUAAGGUACAACUGACGCUGAAGCACGAAAGCGUGGGUAUCAAACAGGAUUAGAUACCCUGGUAGUCCACGCAGUAAACGAUGAUAACUGGGCGUAUGCGAUAUACAGUAUGCUCCUAAGCGAAAGCGUUAAGUUAUCCACCUGGGGAGUACGCCGGCAACGGUGAAACUCAAAGGAAUUGACGGGGGCCCGCACAAGCGGAGGAACAUGUGGUUUAAUUCGAUGAUAUGCGAGGAACCUUACCCGGGAUUGAA